rnacentral:tRNA from 3 species
GGGUGGUUAGCUCAGUUGGGAGAGCAACGGCCUUACAAGCCGUAGGUCACAGGUUCGACCCCUGUACCACCCACCA